rnacentral:misc_RNA from 1 species
GAUGAAGAACGUAGUGAAAUGCGAUACGUAAUGUGAAUUGCAAAUUCAGUGAAUCAUCGAGUCUUUGAACGCACAUUGCGCCCCCUGGUAUUCCGGGGGGCAUGCCUGUCCGAGCGUCAUUGCUGCCCUCAAGCACGGCUUGUGUGUUGGGCCCCGUCCUCCGAUCCCGGGGGACGGGCCCGAAAGGCAGCGGCGGCACCGCGUCCGGUCCUCGAGCGUAUGGGGCUUUGUCACCCGCUCUGUAGGCCCGGCCGGCGCUUGCCGAUCAACACAAAUUUUUAUCCAGGUUGACCUCGGAUCAGGUAGGGAUACCCGCUGAACUUAAGCAUAUCAAUAAGCGGAGGA